AAAACAUGUUCUCCAUUAUCUCAAGCAGCAAAGCAUACUGUAUAUGCGUCAAAGAAAAUGCUAAACCAUCAGAGCUGUAUUUGAUGCACCCCUACCUUUCUACCCCAACGUCCUCACCUGUUUACCCCCACAUCUGCACAUCCUCACCACCUGCUUUUUUGUUUGAUCACCGAUAAAUAGUGUGGGCUCCGAGAGCUCAGGGCAUUCGCAGCCUGAAUACCAGCGUUGGCCCCCUGGACCCACCUUAUGCACUCUUAACUUGUCUUUUCUCAUUCCUUUGACUCCACUGGACUUUGUAGCCCCCAUGGCCUGGUGUUUGGUCUGAUCACCCCAACAUUUCUGGCACCCAACGUGGGGCUAUGAAGACCCCAGUGAAGGAACACUAGAGCAUGCGGAACUGGAGGACGCAUUGUCAGAGGACACCCGAGGAUGACUGAAAGAAGCUCGGUGGGAAAGCUGAGCACUCGGAAGAAACAGGGUAACAACAGGACAGAAUGAAAGUAAAUAUUCUGUUUAUUUAAAUUUCUUAAGGCAUUUAUUACGGAGAGGGGGAGUGAAAGUUAGUACUCAGAAUUUAUUAACACUGUUUAAUACAGUAGAGCAGUUUUAUCCAUAGUUCCCAGAACAAGGGACAAUGGAAUUAGAUGAAUGGGAAAGAAUUGGCAGAGAUUUUUAAAAGGCGCAUAAAGAAGGAGCCAAAAUUCCAGUUUCUGUUUGGUCAGUGUGGGCGUUGAUAAAGGCAGCUCUUGAACCAUUUCAAACAGAUGAUGAGGCAGAUUCAGAUGAGAAAGAGGUAGAUGAGUGUAAAAAAUUAACUUCAGACUCUGAAUAUGAGGAACAGCAACCGGAGAAAAUUAAAGAAAAGAAAGGGACGCUGGAAAGGGUAUAUUUUACUAGCCUGUCGGUUCCACCUGCUGAAUUAAGUGAAUGGCCACCUCCUCCCUCUUUCCUUAAUGGGCGAGAAGAUGAAUUAGCUGUAAAACGUACUGCUUCUGUAGUGGCAACAUUAAAUAUGGGGAACAAUUGCUGGUGCUAUACAAAAUUCUUUUCAGAAGGCUGGAGCUGAAGGAGAGCUAGAAGCAUGGCAAUUUCCAGUUACUAUAAUUCAGCAAGGAGGACAGAACAUUGCUAAUUGGGCCACUUUUCCUUUUAAGAUGUUAAAGGAAUUUAAGCAAGCCAUUAGUCAAUAUGAGCCAAAUUCUCCUUUUGUACAAACUUUACUAAAAAAUGUGGCUCUUGAUAAUAGAUUAAUACCAUAUGACUGGGAUACUUUAACAAAAUCUGUUCUCACUCCAUCUCAGUACUUGCAGUUUAAAACUUGGUGGGCUGAUGAAGCUCAAACUCAGGCAAGAGAAAACACACAAGCACAGUUGCCUGUGCCUGUUUCCUUUGAACAGUUAAUGGGGUUGGGCCCUAAUUGGGGCCAAUUAGACAAUCAAGCAGUAAUGAAAAAUGUCGCCAUUGUUCAGUUACGCACUGUGUGCUUACGGGCAUGGAAAAAAAUAAAUGUUACAGGGAAAAAAUAUCCUUCUUUCAUUAGACCUAUGAGAGGGAAGUCUCAUUUGGCUGAAUAUAUUAAGGCUUGCCAUGGCAUUGGAGGUAACUUACAUAAGGCUACUCUUUUAGCUCAAGCUAUGGCUGAAUUAAAGGUGGGGAAAAAUAUGCCUUGUUUCUCAGGCUCUUGUUUAAUUGUGGGCAAUUUGGACACACAAAAAAAGGAAUGUAAAAAAAGGAAAUCAACAGGCAAGGGCUACUACCAGUAAGCAACAAAAAAGUCCUGGUAUCUGUCCUUGACGUAAGAAGGGCAAUCACUGGGCAAAUCAGUGUCAUUCUAAAGUUAGCAAAGAUGGGCAACCUCUUUCAGGAAAUGGGAAGAGGGGCCCACCUCGGGCCCCUCAACAAACUGAGGCAUAUCCAGCACAGUCAGUGUCCUUACAAACGUACAGCAAUUGUCCCCUGCCACAGCAGGCAGUGCUGCCAUAGAUCUCUGCAGCACAAUUCCCAUUUCCUUACUUCCUGGGGAGCUAUCAAAGAAGGUCCCCAUGGGAGUUAGGGGCCCUUUACCCUCAGGAACAGUUGGUCUGUUGCUUGGAAGGUCUAGCUUAAAUUUAAGAGGCAUCACUGUACAUACAGGAAUAAUUGAUUCUGAUUAUACUAGAGAGAUUUAAUUAGUUAUUAGUUCCUCAAUUCCAUAGUCUGCUUCCCCAGGAGAAAGAAUUGCUCAGUUGUUACUGCUACCUUAUGCAAAACUGGGAAGCAGCACAGUAAAAAGAAUAGGAGGCUUUGGUAGUACAAAUCCAGCAGGAAAAGCUGUAUAUUGGGUUAAUCAAGUGUCUGACAAAAGACCUAUUUGUACAGUAACUAUUCAAGGUAAAGAUUUUGAGGGGCUAGUAGAUAUUGGAGCUGAUGUUUCUAUUAUGGGUUUAAAUCAAUGGCCCUGGCAUUGGCCAAAACAAAAGGCAUCCAUUGGUAUUGUUUAUAGAGUAAAGGCUGCCUCAGAAAUUUUUCAGAGUUCUUUAAUUUUGCCACGCUAAGGGCCAGAUGGCCAAGAAGGGACAAUUCAACCUAUUAUUACACCUAUUCCUGUCAAUCUAUGGUGUAGAGACUUAUUACAACAAUGGGGUGCUGAAAUAUCUAUUUCUAUGGAUCAGUAUAGUAAUAACAGUAAACAAAUGAUGAGAAAAAUGGGAUAUCUCCCAGGAAAGGGACUGGAAAAAAUGAAAGUGGCCAAACAGAACCUUCAGAACUAAAAGGGCAAACAGAUCGAACUGGAUUAGGCUAUCAUUUUUAGGAGUGGUCAUUGCUGAGCCUCCGGCUCCCAUUCCUCUUAUUUGAUUAACUGCCAAACCGGUUUGGGUGGAGCAAUGGCUGCUGAAACAGGAAAAACUGGAGGCUUUAAAAAAAUUGGUACAGGAACAAUUGCAAAAGGGACACAUAGAGCCUACUUUCUCUCCUUGGAAUUCUCCUGUGUUUGUUAUUAAGAAAAAAUCAGGGAAACGGAGAAUGUUAACAGACUUGAGGGCUGUUAAUGCUGUGAUUCAACCCAUGGGCGCACUGCAACCAGGGCUGCCCUCUCCAACAAUGAUCCCAAAAUACUGGCCUCUCAUAGUAAUAGAUUUAAAAGAUUGCUUUUUUACCAUUCCUUUAGCAACUCAAGAUUAUGAAAAAUUUGCUUUUACUGUUCCCACUAAAAAUAACAAAGAACCAGCGGACAGAUACCAUUGGAAAAUACUGCCACAAUGCAUGUUAAAUAGCCUGACUAUUUGUCAAACUUAUGUCAGAAAAGCUAUUAAGCCAGUUAGAGAACAAUUCAAAAAAUGCUAUAUUAUCCAUUACAUGGAUGAUAUUUUAUGUGCAGCUGAAACUAGAGAAGAAUUAAUGCUAUGCUGCAAACAAUUGGAAAAGGCUGUAACUGCAGCGGGAUUAAUCAUAGCCCCCGAUAAAAUCCAAACUUCUACUCCCUUUCAGUAUUUAGGAAUGAAAGUAGAACAAAGUACUAUUAAGCCUCAAAAAGUUCAAAUUAGAAGAGAUACUUUAAAAACUCUAAAUGAUUUUCAAAAAUUAUUAGGAGACAUAAAUUGGAUUCGUCUCACUUUAGGCAUUCCUACUUAUGCUAUGUCUCACCUCUUUUCUACCUUAUGAGGUGAUUCUAACCUUAAUAGCAAAUGCUCUCUAUCCAAAGAAGCAUUAGAGAAACUUCAAUUAAUUGAAAAAAAUUUCAACAAGCCCAAGUGACUCGAAUUAACCCUAUGCAGCCAUUACAGUUUUUAGUUUUUCCUACUAAACAUUCACCUACAGGAGUUAUUGUUCAACAGAAUGAUCUGGUUGAGUGGCUUUUUCUACCUCACAAUACAGCCAAAACGCUCACUCUGUACUUAGAUCAAAUUGCUGUACUAGUAGAACAAGCAAGGCUGUGCACAACAAAGUUAAUGGGAUAUAAUCUAAAUCAAAUUAUGGUUCCAUUAAACAAACAACAAAUUCAGCAGGCUUAUAUUAAUUCCCAGGAAUGGCAAGUUAAUUUGGCAGGUUUUACUGGUGUUCUUGGAUAAUCAUUAUCCUAAAUCCAAAAUAUUCCAAUUUCUUAAGUUAAUAUCAUGGAUAUUGCCCUCCAUUACUCAAAAAGCCCCUAUUGAAGGGGCCAUUACUGUUUUCACUGAUGGAUCUAGUAAUAGAAAAACCUCAUUUGCAGGACCUCAACAGCAAGUUUUUCAAACUGACUUUGCUUCUGCUCAAAGGGCUGAACUUAUGACUGUGAUAACAGCGUUAAAAACUUUUAAACAACCAGUAAACAUUGUUUCUGAUUCAGCCUAUGUAGUGCAAGCCAUGCAAAAUAUUGAAUGUGCCUUAAUUCAAAAUGUGACUAAUGACCAACUUAAUCUUUUAUUUCCUUCUUUACAGCAAGCAGUACAACAAGGCAUUCCCCUUUCUAUAUCACUCAUAUGAGAGCACAUACUAACCUCCCUGGACCUUUAACUAAACUUAAUCAAAGGGUGGAUAAUUACAUGGGGAAGAGGAUUUGUUUGUGUUUAUCCAGGUGACAAUCAGGUGCCUGUGUGGGUGCCCACCAAACAUCUGAAGAUCUAUUAUGAGCUACAGCAGGAAGAGAGGACUCUGGGAAGAGCCAGAUAUAAGCAAUGUCACAAAUAAACAUCUCAGAGAUGAAGGAGAAAACCAAUCUCCCCAAAACAAUGCCCCCUGUCAGCAAGAAGUAGCUAUGAUCAGUCAUCGUUCAUAUUCCAACAGCAGUUAGAUGUGCCUCUUCUGAGGCAGGGAGUGAUAGGGACAGGAGGCAAGGAAAUUCUGGGCAGAAGAGGGCAGGUGCCCAGUGAAGGCCCGAACCUGAAGCCUGGAACCACAGCCCAAAGUGAGAACAUGCAUUCCUGUUUUCCCGCUCAAAUGUUGCCUUUUCCAAAACCACCCAUGGCCCGCCCCCACACCUCAUCCUAUGCCCAUAAAAAACCCAGGUUCCACUGGCAGACAGCAGAGAAGAGGAGAAGCAUCUGGACAUCAGAGAGUACAGUUGGAUGUUGGAGAGAAGCAGCUUGACUUCACAGAGACGGCUUGAUGGCAUUGCUCCAGGGGAAGAUCACCUUCCUGCUCCAUCCCCUUUCCAGCUCCCCUUCCCACUGAGUGCCACUUUCAUCAACAAUAAAAUCCCCUGCAUUCACCACCCUUCAAUUUGUGUUACCCGGACGCCAAACAAGAGCUGAGGUACCAUGGGAGCAGAUGCAAAAGGCUGUCACACUGACCCUCUGCCCUCACUGGUGGAAAGCAGCCACCUCAUGAGAAAAGGCAGAGGGCCCACUGAGCUGUUAACACUUAAGCCAUCUGUGGAUGGCAGCACUGAAAGAGCACUGACUAUAACAUUCCUUCUGGGGCUUUGGGCGUCAUGGGUACUUCUCCCAGAUGCUGCCGCAGGGCGCAUGCAGUUUUGCCCCUGCUGACACCCAAAAGCACUCACCCUGGCUCCUACAACUGCUCACCUGCGUGUUCCCUCCCACGAGGGUUGAACACAAGGGGUUCGGGUGAGUGGAGUUUUCCCCUGCUGGUGCCAAAGCUGUGGGUAGCUCCAGUGCCUGUACUUCAGUUCCUGCCCACGAAGGGGUCAGGGGAAAUUUCCUGCUUCAAUGGUAGCAAUAUUUUGAGGCCUGCAAGGUGGGCACCUUCCCCAGAGGCUGAGCAUGUGCUUCUGCCAGGCCCUGGCUGGAGUCAGUUUAUUACACUUAGCAGUGAAGGAAAUAAUGUACACAGUGGUCCAUUUCCAAGACAAUGUGCCUUGAAUCAGCUUAGGUCAGCAAACUACAGAAGAAACAAGAUAUACUAGGCCCCUGCCUGCUUUUCAGCCUCCCCCUGCCCCCUCUCCCACUCCCCUCUUAGUU
rnacentral:lncRNA from 1 species